rnacentral:rRNA from 1 species
GAUGAACGCUGGCGGCGUGCUUAACACAUGCAAGUCGAACGGGAAUUAUUUUAUUGAAACUUCGGUCGAUUUAAUUUAAUUCUAGUGGCGGACGGGUGAGUAACGCGUGGGUAACCUGCCUUAUACAGGGGGAUAACAGUCAGAAAUGGCUGCUAAUACCGCAUAAGCGCACAGAGCUGCAUGGCUCAGUGUGAAAAACUCCGGUGGUAUAAGAUGGACCCGCGUUGGAUUAGCUUGUUGGCAGGGUAACGGCCUACCAAGGCGACGAUCCAUAGCCGGCAUGAGAGGGUGAACGGCCACAUUGGGAAUGAGACACGGCCCAGAAUCCUACGGGAGGCAGCAGUGGGGAAUAUUGCACAAUGGGGGAAACCCUGAUGCAGCGACGCCGCAUGAAGGAAGAAGUAUCUCGGUAUGUAAACUUCUAUCAGCAGGGAAGAUAGUGACGGUACCUGACUAAGAAGCCCCGGCUAACUACGUG